rnacentral:hammerhead_ribozyme from 1 species
AUCCAGCUAACGAGUCCCAAAUAGGACGAAGUGUCGCACGUCCUGGAU